rfam:Nematostella vectensis strain CH2 x CH6 NEMVEscaffold_644_Cont31240, whole genome shotgun sequence.
GCCUCGUUAGCGCAGUAGGCAGCGCGUCAGUCUCAUAAUCAAAUCUAGAAAUCUGAAGGUCGUGAGUUUCAUCCUCAAACGGGGUA